GGAGGUGGGGGGCGGGGCUGUGGCUGGAUCAGCGGCAUUAUGUGCACAGUCCCCAUGUGGGCUUUGCAGCCUCCAUAUGAUCAUACCCGAGCCUUCUGAAGACCCCCAAAUCCGUGCCCCGACCCCAGGAGCUGACCCUGUGAGGGUUUUGUGUUCCCUUAUGCUUUACAUGCUUGAUUUCAUCUCCCCUUACUGCAGACUGUCAUGUGGUGUCCGCCUUCCGGCCACAUGGCCUCGCCACCCUCCUGAGUCUUGUGUGGGUCUCAAGGGCAUCUCUGCUUAAGGUGGCUGCUGGCCUGGGCCCAGUCUCCUCUUCUGCGGAGGGCCCUCCGAGUUCACCCGAAGCGAACACACGGGAGCAAAGCAGGCCGGACUGGGUGUGCGCGCCAGGACCCCGGACGAGGUGACACCAGGACCUGGAGAGCAGGCCAGAGCGGCUCCUCAAAUUUUCUGGCACCUUCCACCCACAGAGGCUGUAGAGAGGAG